UGCAUAUCAAUAAGCGGAGGAAAAGAAACUAACAAGGAUUCCCCUAGUAACGGCGAGUGAAGCGGGAUGAGCUCAAAUUUGAAAUCUGGCUGGUUUACCAGUCCGAGUUGUAGUUUAAAGAAGCGUUUUCGGUGGCAGCCUGGGUAUAAAUCCUUUGGAACAGGGUAUCAUAGAGGGUGAGAAUCCCGUCUUUGACUCAGUGCGAUGUUACUAUGUGAUACGUUUUCAAAGAGUCGAGUUGUUUGGGAAUGCAGCUCAAAAUGGGUGGUAAAUUUCAUCUAAGGCUAAAUAUUGGCGAGAGACCGAUAGCGAACAAGUACCGUGAGGGAAAGAUGAAAAGAACUUUGAAAAGAGAGUUAAACAGUGCGUGAAAUUGUUGAAAGGGAAACGUUUGACACCAGCUAUGUAGGCGGAAAAUCAGUCAACUGCAGUGAGGGGUGGUGUGGGUUCGGACCGCAAGGCCGGCCUUUGCCUCAUCUUUGUUGCAAGUGAUGCACUUUUUCGUCCGCAGGUCAACAUCAGUUUCGCUCGCUGGACAAAACCCCAAGAGAAGGUAGCAGCUUAGGCUGUGUUAUAGCUCUGGGGCGAUACAGUGGGUGGGACUGAGGAUUCGCAGUGUGUGCUCUCGGGCAAGGCUGACUGGGCGCUCUGGGGUUGUUUGGCGUACAAUGCAUGCAUUUUGCGCCUUGUCUUCUCCAUACUCGCUUAGAUCGGUUCUUCCACGCUUAGGAUGUUGACGUAAUGGCUUUAAACGACA
rnacentral:rRNA from 1 species